UACUUAUCAAGAGAGGUGGAGGGACUGGCCCUUUGAAACCUCAGCAACCUGCCGUAAGGGGUGUGGUGCUAAUUCCAGCGAGAUGAGGC
rnacentral:ncRNA from 2 species